GUCAGUCAGAACUGAAGAUCCUCUGGGUUGAGAUGUGGAUCGUCUUCAUGGAUCUAGGUCAAGGGAGUUGUCCCAGAUUUAACCCUUCUCUAAGAAACAUGACCUGGAUGACAGAACUUUCACAGACUAUGAGACUGAACAGCACUUCACACUCGGCCUCAUGUGACUCCAACGACCAUCGGCCACACCGGAGCUCAGGCUCUGGUGGAACUCUUCAUCCAGGAACUCCAGGUCACUCAGGUCACAUGGGCUGCAUGGGUGCAGGCGAAAAGGGGUCGACAAGGUAUUGAUAAGUUGCCCUAAUCAUAUAAAUCACGGCUGAUUGUAAAGAGGGAGGUUAAAGGUUAAUUGUCCAAUGUGUAACAGGGUAAGAUAGCUUUCCCCAAUGAUAGCUAAAGGCAGUAAACAUGUCUUGUGUGUGUGAUGCAUGACAAGACAAUGUGUUUGCAUUUGCAAUUCUUUAUCUUUCAGGCUGAAACCGAGAGAUAAAAGAGCUUACAGAGACACAAAGAUAAUAAAUGAAGUAGAAAACAGAACCCACUUUUCAUCUUA